rnacentral:rRNA from 1 species
UACGUAUGGAGCAAGCGUUAUCCGGAUUUACUGGGUGUAAAGGGAGCGUAGGCGGUAAGGCAAGUCUGAUGUGAAAACCCGGGGCUCAACCCCGGGACUGCAUUGGAAACUGCUUAACUAGAGUGUCGGAGAGGUAAGUGGAAUUCCUAGUGUAGCGGUGAAAUGCGUAGAUAUUAGGAGGAACACCAGUGGCGAAGGCGGCUUACUGGACGAUCACUGACGCUGAGGCU